UACGUAGGGUGCGAGCGUUGUCCGGAAUUAUUGGGCGUAAAGAGCUCGUAGGCGGUUUGUCACGUCGGAUGUGAAAACCCGAGGCUUAACCUCGGGCCUGCAUUCGAUACGGGCUGACUAGAGUUCGGUAGGGGAGACUGGAAUUCCUGGUGUAGCGGUGAAAUGCGCAGAUAUCAGGAGGAACACCGGUGGCGAAGGCGGGUCUCUGGGCCGAUACUGACGCUGAGGAGCGAAAGCGUGGGGAGCGAACAGG
rnacentral:rRNA from 1 species